UACGAAGGGGGCUAGCGUUGCUCGGAAUUACUGGGCGUAAAGGGCGCGUAGGCGGUCAGACCAAGUCGAGUGUGAAAUUCCAGGGCUUAACUCUGGCGCGCUCGCUCGAUACUGGUCGGCUAGAGUGUGGAAGAGGAUGCUGGAAUUCCUGGUGUAGCGGUGAAAUGCGCAGAUAUCAGGAGGAACACCGAUGGCGAAGGCAGGUCUCUGGGCCACUACUGACGCUGAGAAGCGAAAGCAUGGGGAGCGAACAGG
rnacentral:rRNA from 1 species